UACGGGGGGGGCAAGCGUUGUUCGGAAUUACUGGGCGUAAAGGGCUCGUAGGUGGCCAACUAAGUCACACGUGAAAUCCCUCGGCUUAACCGGGGAACUGCGUGUGAUACUGGAUGGCUUGAGUUUGGGAGAGGGAUGCGGAAUUCCAGGUGUAGCGGUGAAAUGCGUAGAUAUCUGGAGGAACACCGGUGGCGAAGGCGGCAUCCUGGACCAACACUGACACUGAGGAGCGAAAGCCAGGGGAGCAAACGGG
rnacentral:rRNA from 1 species